GUUCAAAAGAGGAAAGGCUUGCGGUGGAUACCUAGGCACCCAGAGACGAGGAAGGGCGUAGCAAGCGACGAAAUGCUUGGGGGAGUUGAAAAUAAGCAUAGAUCCGGAGAUUCCCAAAUAGGUCAACCUUUUAAACUGCCUGCUGAAUCCAUGAGCAGGCAAGAGACAACCUGGCGAACUGAAACAUCUUAGUAGCCAGAGGAAAAGAAAGCAAAAGCGAUCCCCGUAGUAGC
rnacentral:ncRNA from 1 species